AGUUACAAAUAUGGCGUUUUGGACGGGCUCGAUAGUUUGCUUGGCCUCUACUCAAGGAAUGCUGAUGGUAUAGCAAGAAGGUAUUCUGAGCAUUAUAUCAAUGGGGAAGUUCUAGAUCUUUUGCAAAGCAGGAGAGUCAUCCUAGGGCAUCCAGAGGCCUUCAGGGUGGCCUGAAGUCUCCCACCGCACCACCUUUGGGUUAACCUAGCCUGUCCCACAGAAGAUGAUGAAGUUGGGUCUGGAGGCAAGCUGACUCAGAUGGAUUCUCGAUUUUAUGAUGCUGGACUGGAGAUGGGUUUCACCAUGUUGCCCAAGCUAGUCUCGAACUCGUGGACUCAAGCAAUCCACCUGCCUCAGCCUCCCAAAGUGCCUUACAGGCGUGAGCCACCGCACCUGGCUGAACUGUCCCUUCACACUUACCUUCAGUCCUGGAGGGAGGACCUCUUGCUUGUGGAUCUGGAUGACAGUGAUACUCACAAGUACCACAAUACUCACAAGCAAGACCACCAAGGCAAUGAUGGUUGGAGUUCGGUAGAGGGCCUUGAGGCCUAAAAUGAGAAGACCCAGAAGACACUUGAGGGGGAGGUAAAAACCAGGCACUGGUAUUCUUUGUAGAAUUGAUGGACUGGCCCCAUAAUCAGGUGCAUAAACCACCUUCUCUGGUGUUAGCGAGACCCACACUUCUAAGAUGGAGUAGCAAAUAAGCUCCCCUUCUCCCCAG
rnacentral:lncRNA from 1 species